UAAGCGUGCGCAGGCGGCUUUGCAAGACAGAGGUGAAAUCCCCGGGCUCAACCUGGGAACUGCCUUUGUGACUGCAAGGCUAGAGUACGGCAGAGGGAGAUGGAAUUCCGCGUGUAGCAGUGAAAUGCGUAGAUAUGCGGAGGAACACCGAUGGCGAAGGCAAUCUCCUGGGCCUGUACUGACGCUCAUGCACGAAAGCGUGGGGAGCAAACAGGAUUAGAUACCCUUGU
rnacentral:rRNA from 1 species